CAAUAGCGUAUAUUAAAGUUGUUGCAGUUAAAAAGCUCGUAGUUGGAUUUCGGGACGGGCCAGUUGGUCCGCCGCAAGGUGUGUUACUGACUGGUCUGUUCUUCUUCGCAAAGACUGCGUGUGCUCUUCGUUGAAUGUGCGUAGGAUUUACGACGUUUACUUUGAAAAAAUUAGAGUGUUCAAAGCAGGCUAUCGCUUGAAUACAUGAGCAUGGAAUAAUGGAAUAGGACUUUGGUCCUAUUUUGUUGGUUUCUAGGACCGAAGUAAUGAUUAAGAGGGACAAUUGGGGGCAUCCGUAUUUCGUUGUCAGAGGUGAAAUUCUUGGAUUUACGAAAGACGAACAACUGCGAAAGCACUUGCCAAGAGUGUUUUCAUUAA
rnacentral:rRNA from 1 species